rnacentral:lncRNA from 1 species
AUCAUUCACAAUUUCCACAUAUUUUAUGGAUCUUUGAAAAGAUUUACAAAACAUAUAAAAAACAAUUAAGAAAAAUUGAUAGGUUUAAAAGAAAGUACACUAAUGAAAAUGUGUUGCAUGUGAAAAGUACAUUUGAGGGUAUCCAAGUACAUUUUAGUAGGCUGCUAAAAUCUUUGGGAUACGUUACAGACUUUAAAUAACAUCAAAGAUGUGGCAGGUUAAAAAUAGUGCAAUUGGGCUUUGCAGAUGACCUUCUAUUGUUCUGUAGAGGGGAUCCACAAUCUGUAGCUCAUAUGUUUAAUUUCUUUAAGCAGUUCUCUGCAGCAUCAG